UACGUAGGCAGCGAGCGUUGUUCGGAGUUACUGGGCGUAAAGAGUGCGUAGGCGGUUUUCUAAGUUUGGUGUGAAAUCUCCCGGCUCAACUGGGAGGGUGCGCCGAAGACUGGAAGGCUUGAGUAUGGGAGAGGUAAGCGGAAUUCCUGGUGUAGCGGUGAAAUGCGUAGAUAUCAGGAGGAACACCUAUGGCGAAGGCAGCUUGCUGGGACGGUACUGACGCUGAGACGCGAAAGCGUGGGGAGCAAACAGG
rnacentral:rRNA from 1 species